ensembl:lncRNA
CAAAAGAUGAUCCAGAAAUAAGCAAUUAUAUUGAUUAGAUUUUGCAUAGUAAUUCCAAUUUUAAUUCUUCAAAUAUCUUGUGAAAAAAAUUGUUAUUUUACACGACAGGAAAUGUUUGUCUUUAGAAAGAUUUAUCUUUCUCUAUUCCCAUAGGAGUAUAAUCUGAGUUUUAACCCAUCAUAUACAUAUUUACAUAUGUGCAUACUUUUUGGUGCUUAACUGUGUUUCAUACUGCUAACACAAAUUUGGGGAAAAGGAUAAUUUGAGAUUUGUGCUUCCCAUAUGUCUAAUACAAUUUGCAAGCCAUCUACUGUAUCACUUGUAAGCUUCAGAUUCUUUUCAUAUGAUUUGAUUUUCUAUCGAGGCAACAAGAUGGACUUCUGUUUUGCUUCAGAAAUCAUUCCCUGACAUCACCACACACUUUAAGGUAGCUGAGACCAAUUCAGCCUUUUGCAGCCUUUUAAGUAUCUGAGCACUGCACUUCAAAAAUGUUAUCAGUUGAAUUUGUUGAUCUGAGUAUGUACCAAAACAGAUACCAUGCAGCAUCUCUAAGUUGUAUGUUAGUAUAAAUUAGAGGUCAGAAAGCAUUUUUUUGAAAGGAACUUUAGGAAGUUCCCAUGAAGAAGAGAUGCUCAAAUAUUAGUUUUGUUUUCUUGCUGAUAUAUGUAGUGAAUCUCUCCUACAUCUGAAAGUUCAAAACUGUUGUAUGCGUAGCGAGGGAAACGAGGUGUGUUGUAGGCGUAGCGAGGGAAACGAGGUGUGACGCGUGCAGGUUCCUAUGCCACCUGUGUGUUAUGCCACCUGUGUGUGCCAAGUGUAACUUCGUGAUUGGAGGAAACACUUGUAUUUAAACACGUAGCCUAUAGCAAUAAAUGCCAUUUGCCUCACUUACUCCUGGGGUCUGGGUGAGCAUCUGGCCCCGACCUGGUAAAGGGUCGGUUUCGCCCAGCAGUAAGCCCUACAUGUGGACAGAGGACGAACACCGGACGAGCGAACGGAGACUACAUGCAACAAGUGGUGACCCCGACAUGAUCUGUCUGCUGAGGGUGGCUGCCCGGCGUGCCCGUGACGCGGAGAAGAGCCUGUGAGGUGGCGGCAGGUCGCGCACGGAAGAUGUAUUGCGGUUAAGAGCCUGCGAGGUGGCGGCAGGUCGCAUGCGUAACAAUGGACCAAGUCAUUAAGAAAAGUAUGUGUGGAGAUGAGUGGAGUCAAGAAGACCUAAAUAGUAAUCCUGAUAUUAAAAACACUAACUCUUCAUGACCCCAGGGGCCAGCCAGACAAAAGACUGCUAUGCAGCAUCAGUGAGACACAGCCACAGUGCUGGGACCUGUCUGGGCAUCUCAGUUCAAAAAAGACAUGUGAAUACUGGAGUUGAUCCAGCAGAAGUCCACAAAGGUGAUGAAAGAACUGGAGUAUUGUAAUUUGGGGACAGGUUGAGUGAAUUUCAACUGCGAAGUCUAGAGAGGAGAAGACUCGGAAGGAAGCUCAUCAGUGUGUACAAAAGCAUCUAUGUGAGGAAGUGAAAAAAUUGGAGCCCUAUUUUUCUCAGUGGUGUCCAGUAUCAGGACAAGAGGCAUACUGAAAUAC